GUGGGGGAUAUUGCACAAUGGGGGAAACCCUGAUGCAGCGACGCCGCGUGAGGGAAGAAGGUUUUCGGAUUGUAAACCUCUGUCUUCGGUGACGAAAAUGACGGUAGCCGAGGAGGAAGCCACGGCUAACUACGUGCCAGCAGCCGCGGUAAUACGUAGGUGGCAAGCGUUGUCCGGAAUUACUGGGUGUAAAGGGAGCGUAGGCGGGGAUACAAGUUGAAUGUUAAAACUAUGGGCUCAACCCAUAGUUGCGUUCAAAACUGUAUUUCUUGAGUGAAGUAGAGGUAAGCGGAAUUCCUAGUGUAGCGGUGAAAUGCGUAAAUAUUAGGAGGAACACCAGUGGCGAAGGCGGCUUACUGGGCUUUAACUGACGCUGAGGCUCGAAAGCGUGGGUAGCAAACAGGAUUAGAUACCCGUGUAGUCC
rnacentral:rRNA from 1 species